CCUACGGGAGGCAGCAGUGAGGAAUAUUGGUCAAUGGACGAGAGUCUGAACCAGCCAAGUAGCGUGAAGGAUGACUGCCCUAUGGGUUGUAAACUUCUUUUAUAUGGGAAUAAAAUGUUCCACGUGUGGGAUGUUGUAUGUACCAUAUGAAUAAGGAUCGGCUAACUCCGUGCCAGCAGCCGCGGUAAUACGGAGGAUCCGAGCGUUAUCCGGAUUUAUUGGGUUUAAAGGGAGCGUAGGUGGAUUGUUAAGUCAGUUGUGAAAGUUUGCGGCUCAACCGGAAAAUUGCAGUUGAUACUGGCAGUCUUGAGUACAGUAGAGGUGGGCGGAAUUCGUGGUGUAGCGGUGAAAUGCUUAGAUAUCACGAAGAACUCCGAUUGCGAAGGCAGCUCACUGGACUGCAACUGACACUGAGGCUCGAAAGUGUGGGUAUCAAACAGGAUUAGAUACCCCUGUAGUC
rnacentral:rRNA from 1 species